rnacentral:lncRNA from 1 species
UGAACAUAUAUUUUUAUACGACCGCAAAUUUUGAAAAAAUUUUCGUCGUAUAUUGCUAUCACGUUGGCGUCUGCGUCGUCGUCGUCGUCGUCGUCGUCGUCGUCGUCGUCGUCCGGCGUCCGAAUACUUUUAGUUUUCGCACUCUAACUUUAGUAAAAGUGAAUAGAAAUCUAUGAAAUUUUAACACAAGGUUUAUGACCAUAAAAGGAAGGUUGGUAUUGAUUUUGGGAGUUUUGGUCCCAAC